AUUGAACGCUGGCGGCAGGCCUAACACAUGCAAGUCGAACGAGUGGCGGACGGGUGAGUAAUGUCUGGGAAACUGCCUGAUGGAGGGGGAUAACUACGGGAAACGGUAGCUAAUACCGCAUACCCUCAGAUGUGCCCAGAUGGGAUUAGCUAGUUGGUGGGGUAAAGGCUCACCAAGGCGACGAGCCCUAGCUGGUCUGAGAGGAUGACCAGCCACACUGGAACUGAGACACGGUCCAGACUCCUACGGGAGGCAGCAGUGGGGAAUAUUGCACAAUGGGCGCAAGCCGGAUGCAGCCAUGCCGCGUGUAUGAAGAAGGCCUUCGGGUUGUAAAGUACUUUCAGCGGUGAGGCGUUACCCGCAGAAGAAGCACCGGCUAACUCCGUGCCAGCAGCCGCGGUAAUUC
rnacentral:rRNA from 1 species